ACGGGAGGCAGCAGUGGGGAAUAUUGCACAAUGGGCGAAAGCCUGAUGCAGCCAUGCCGCGUGUAUGAAGAAGGCCUUCGGGUUGUAAAGUACUUUCAGUUGUGAGGAAGGGGGUAACGUUAAUAGCGUUAUCUCUUGACGUUAGCAACAGAAGAAGCACCGGCUAACUCCGUGCCAGCAGCCGCGGUAAUACGGAGGGUGCGAGCGUUAAUCGGAAUUACUGGGCGUAAAGCGCAUGCAGGUGGUUCAUUAAGUCAGAUGUGAAAGCCCGGGGCUCAACCUCGGAACUGCAUUUGAAACUGGUGAACUAGAGUGCUGUAGAGGGGGGUAGAAUUUCAGGUGUAGCGGUGAAAUGCGUAGAGAUCUGAAGGAAUACCAGUGGCGAAGGCGGCCCCCUGGACAGACACUGACACUCAGAUGCGAAAGCGUGGGGAGCAAACAGGAUUAGAUACCCUGGUAGUCCACGCCGUAAACGAUGUCUACUUGGAGGUUGUGGCCUUGAGCCGUGGCUUUCGGAGCUAACGCGUUAAGUAGACCGCCUGGGGAGUACGGUCGCAAGAUUAAAACUCAAAUGAAUUGACGGGGGCCCGCACAAGCGGUGGAGCAUGUGGUUUAAUUCGAUGCAACGCGAAGAACCUUACCUACUCUUGACAUCCAGAGAAGCCAGCGGAGACGCAGGUGUGCCUUCGGGAACUCUGAGACAGGUGCUGCAUGGCUGUCGUCAGCUCGUGUUGUGAAAUGUUGGGUUAAGUCCCGCAACGAGCGCAACCCUUAUCCUUGUUUGCCAGCGAGUAAUGUCGGGAACUCCAGGGAGACUGCCGGUGAUAAACCGGA
rnacentral:rRNA from 1 species